UACGUAGGGGGCAAGCGUUGUCCGGAAUCAUUGGGCGUAAAGCGCGUGUAGGCGGCUCGAUAAGUCCGUUCUGAAAGUCCAGGGCUCAACCCUGGGAUGCGGAUGGAUACUGUCGAGCUCGAGUCCGGAAGAGGCGAGUGGAAUUCCUGGUGUAGCGGUGAAAUGCGCAGAUAUCAGGAGGAACACCAAUGGCGAAGGCAGCUCGCUGGGACGUGACUGACGCUGAGGAGCGAAAGCAUGGGUAGCGAACAGG
rnacentral:rRNA from 1 species